rnacentral:rRNA from 1 species
GUAACACGUAGUCAACAUGCCCAGAGGACGUGGAUAACCUCGGGAAACUGAGGAUAAACCGCGAUAGGUCAUAACUACUGGAAUGUGUUAUGGCCGAAAUCUACAUGGCCUCUGGAUUGGACUGCGGCCGAUCAGGCUGUUGGUGAGGUAAUGGCCCACCAAACCUGUUACCGGUACGGGCUCUGAGAGGAGGAGCCCGGAGAUGGGCACUGAGACAAGGGCCCAGGCCCUAUGGGGCGCAGCAGGCGCGAAACCUCUGCAAUAGGCGAAAGCUUGACAGGGUUACUCUGAGUGAUUCCCGCUAAGGGAAUCUUUUGGCAUCUCUAAAAAUGGUGCA